rnacentral:rRNA from 1 species
UACGGGUAGGGCGAGCGUUGAUCAUCAUUAUUAGGCGUAAAGGGUAUGUAGGCGGUUUUAUAAGUUACUAGUAAAACAAUAAAGCAUAACUUUAUAUUAUUAGUAAUACUGUUAAACUAGAGUAUUGUUUAGGAUAAUGGAAUUUCUGGAGUAAGGGUUAAAUCUAUUGAUACCAAAAGGAACACCGAUUUACGAAGGUAGUUAUCUGAAUUUUACUGACGCUGAGGUACGAAGGUAUGGGGAGCAAACAGG